UAGGGAAUUUUGCGCAAUGGACGAAAGUCUGACGCAGCAACGCCGCGUGAGGGAUGACGGCCUUCGGUUGUAAACCUCUGUUGGAUGGGAAAAAGGUAAGCAAUAUUUGAUGGUACCAUUCGAGUAAGCACCGGCUAACUACGUGCCAGCAGCCGCGGUAAUACGUAGGGUGCAAGCGUUGUUCGGAAUCACUGGGCGUAAAGGGAGUGUAGGCGGGAUUGUAAGUUAGGAGUUUAAUCCACGGGCUCAACUCGUGGCCUGCUUUUAAUACUGCGGUUCUUGAGUAUGGGAGAGGGCGAUGGAAUUCCAGGUGUAGCGGUGGAAUGCGUAGAUAUCUGGAAGAACACCAGUAGCGAAGGCGGUCGCCUGGCCCAAUACUGACGCUGAUACUCGAAAGCUAGGGGAGCAAACAGGAUUAGAUACCCUGGUAGUCCUAGCCGUAAACGAUGAACACUAGUUGCUGGAGGAGUCAAUCUUUCGGUGACGAAGCUAACGCAUUAAGU
rnacentral:rRNA from 1 species